rnacentral:tRNA from 1 species
GCCAGAGUGGCAUAGUGGUUUGAACAUUGGACUAUGACUCUAGAGACCAGAGUUCAAAUUCUGGCUUGGCC